AUUGAACGCUGGCGGCAGGCCUAACACAUGCAAGUCGGGCGGUAGCACAGGAGAGCUUGCUCUCCGGGUGACGAGCGGCGGACGGGUGAGUAAUGUCUGGGAAACUGCCUGAUGGAGGGGGAUAACUACUGGAAACGGUAGCUAAUACCGCAUAACGUCGCAAGACCAAAGCGGGGGACCUUCGGGCCUCUUGCCAUCGGAUGUGCCCAGAUGGGAUUAGCUAGUAGGUGAGGUAAAGGCUCACCUAGGCGACGAUCCCUAGCUGGUCUGAGAGGAUGACCAGCCACACUGGAACUGAGACACGGUCCAGACUCCUACGGGAGGCAGCAGUGGGGAAUAUUGCACAAUGGGCGCAAGCCUGAUGCAGCCAUGCCGCGUGUAUGAAGAAGGCCUUCGGGUUGUAAAGUACUUUCAGCGGGGAGGAAGGUGUUGUGGUUAAUAACCGCAGCAAUUGACGUUACCCGCAGAAGAAGCACCGGCUAACUCCGUGCCAGCCGCCGCCGUAA
rnacentral:rRNA from 1 species